rnacentral:rRNA from 1 species
UGGGGAAUUUUGGACAAUGGGCGCAAGCCUGAUCCAGCCAUGCCGCGUGCGGGAAGAAGGCCUUCGGGUUGUAAACCGCUUUUGUCAGGGAAGAAAUCUUCUGAGUUAAUACCUCGGGAGGAUGACGGUACCUGAAGAAUAAGCACCGGCUAACUACGUGCCAGCAGCCGCGGUAAUACGUAGGGUGCAAGCGUUAAUCGGAAUUACUGGGCGUAAAGCGUGCGCAGGCGGUUUUGUAAGACAGAGGUGAAAUCCCCGGGCUCAACCUGGGAACUGCCUUUGUGACUGCAAGGCUUGAGUGCGGCAGAGGGGGAUGGAAUUCCGCGUGUAGCAGUGAAAUGCGUAGAUAUGCGGAGGAACACCGAUGGCGAAGGCAAUCCCCUGGGCCUGCACUGACGCUCAUGCACGAAAGCGUGGGGAGCAAACAGGAUUAGAUAGCCCUGGUAGUCCACGCCCUAAACGAUGUCAACUGGUUGUUGGGAAGGUUCCUUCUCAGUAACGUAGCUAACGCGUGAAGUUGACCGCCUGGGGAGUACGGCCGCAAGGUUG